UGACCGUGUAGACCGCGCCGGGUUGGGUCUGGACGGUUUGAGACAUCGAGGUUGCGCCGUUCUGAUCGGUGCUGGUCGUCCA
rnacentral:tRNA from 1 species